rnacentral:lncRNA from 1 species
GUAUGGCACGUGUGGUCAAGAGAACACCUAAGCCUACUGCCUAUGCACGAGCAACAUCCAAGCCAAAGAAAUGUAAGGCUUCCUGUCGUCUUAAGUGCAAGUAUUCCAUCAAGAACCAACAUGCUUUAUGCUGCAAAAGUUGUGGUGAGCUGUGAGUCUCGGUGUUGACUGCUGUGCAUUGCAAGAAGCUUCUCUGCUGAGGAUUGAAGGCAGCACUAAUAUAUGGAUAUAAAGUUAAGUAUUUUUAAUUUUACUUUUGUUACUCAUGUAUGUGCACACGUGUGUGCAUAUUUAUUUAUGCUCGUGCAUCCAUGAAGGCCCUUGG